GAUAUGCACAGAUCUUAAACCCAUCCAGAUGUCCCCAGCUGGUAACCUGAUCCUCAACAUCAUACCCAAGAUCUGAAAUCUAAAAAGUCAGAAUGCUGAAGAUGGGGUAGCAGGGCUUAUAGAAAAAGAAAUGGAAGCUCAGGACGGUGGGGACCUGAACCUGCCCCACACUACUGUUGCUGCAUAGCAUCUUGAGGAACAGGAAUCUUCCAAGUCCCAUCCCAAAGACUAUGGAAGAUUCCACAGUAAAAUGAACAUAAGUGCUUUUCUAGCAUGUUAUACCUUAAAGUAUAAGCUACAUGAGGAAGACACUCGGAGGCACUUCAGCAACCUGUGUUGCUACAGAGCACAGUAGGAUGAACCAAGGGUGCACUGUGACACACAAAGAUGAAAAUGGGCCUGGAGUAUGUUGCACAAGAUGAGCAUGAAGGAACAGAGGUUAUCUGGUCUGAAGAAGAGAAUAAAGGGGACCUUACUGCUACCUUCAACUACCUCUUUGGAGAGUAUAGAGAAGACAAAGCCAGGCUUGCCAGAGGUGCAUGGUAAGAUCAGUGUCAGAAAACCAAAAAUUCUGAUUAGAUAACAGAGAAAGGUUUUGCUUGCUGUUUUUUUUUGUCUGUUUCUUUUUUAAAUCAUGAAGGUGCUCAAGUGCUUGAGAAGUCACCAGAGAGAUUGUAGGAUCUCCAUUCUUGAAGAUAUCAAAACUCAACUGGACAAGGUCCAGGACAACGCAAUCUAACUGCAUGUGCUACAGAGCAGAGGACUGAUCAUCUCAAGACUUCCCUUCCAAACUCAGUUGGCAUGAUUCUAAUGUUAUAAUGCUACAGGAUACUGUAAGCAUGUUUUCUACUCACUCACACUGCACAAGUCAUUGGCUGGACCCAUCAGGAAUUCAAACUGUUUGGAACAGACAGUGGCUGCUCCUACUAGCUUUUACUACCCUUCCUCCCAAGUUCUGCAAGAUCACAAGAUCUCACCAAAGCACUUUAUGAGCACUAGGAUUCUGAUCGGCAUAAAGCUGAGAAGCCCUCCUCUUAGACAGAUCUUGGGCAGUCUGAUGACUGUUCUCAGCUCACGUUCUCAUUAACAUGAGUAGCUGAAGGAAGAGCUGUCUGUCAUAUGGAGAUAGCCUUAAAACUGCUUACCACUUUUUUCGUUACAUGUUAGUAGCAGGCUCAACAUAAUUGUACAAGUAGCUUAGAUGAUGGCAUCUAUUAUGGUGGGAGAAAAGGCUAAGGGGAGGUUUUUAUAGCUUAUGUUCAUUUAUAUCUUACGUGCAUAUAGCAACCAGGAAACCAGAGAUGCCCUGAACGUGUUUUUAUUGUUGAAAAUUGAGAACAUACUGUGCAAGGUAUGUAAGUGCCCCCAGUUAAAAGUCUUAUUUUCCCAGAUUUAAAAUUAAUUUGAAGGUAGCCUUAUAGAUUGCAGUGCUUAUCAUGACUGGAUGCAUGAAAGGAAGCACCAAGGAGAGGACCAAAACACAUUUUGACCUUGUAAUGACUCAAGUGACCACCAAACUUUGCUUCCAUUUGUCCUUCUGCAACCUGGAUUAGUGGGUUUUCAACUGCUGUCCAGAACCUUCUGGGCUCCUAAAUUACUUUUGAAAGAUCUAUGUGGAAAUAAGCUAUGAAAAGUGAUUUCAUAAGAAAUUGGCUACACUAGAAACAAAAUAAAUCAAAGGACCUAAAAUUUGAAAACCACUCCCUAAGACAAGAAAAGUAGUUGCUUCGUAUUUUUUAAUGAGACGUUACUAAUUCCACUUUCCAGAUUCUUAUCUACUCUCCCAGUAACACACUAUUUACACUAUUUACAUUGAAAACCCCACUUCUGAAUUUUAUGCUGGUUCUGGUUUUCACAGAAACUAAGCUGAGACUUAAUUUCUUUCAUAUUCAAGGUUUUCCAGGAAUUAUGUGAAUAUCCUGGAUUAUACAUUCUUUAAAACAAGGUGGUCCCUGACUGUAUGGGACAAGGGCCUACUGCUGCAAGACAAAGUUACUAACGUUACAGAAUUUGAGCACCUUGUAUCACAUCCUGCUUGAAACUUAAAUAUUAGCAUGUGACUCAAACACAACAACAUCUGAUAAUAGCCAAGUGCAAAUUAAGAAAGAA